UGUAAGGCUCUUCGUUCCCUCCAGUCGAAGCCCAACUUCCGUACACCGUGAAAGAAGGGUUAACAACCCCUUUUCUUUCACCAUCGGCCAUUGGCCACGACAGCGGCGGGUCGGGAGGUCAGAGAACCCUAAUAGGCGAAGGAGGGUAAAUUUUUUGAGAGAGUUUGAGAUGCUCUCGGUUUUUUUUUUUUGUUUAAAAUGAAAGAUGAAGUGUUUUUUUGUGAUUUUUUGUAUAUUUAUAUGAGAUAAAUACGACGCCAUUUUGAGCCCUUGCAUCAGUGGCCAAAACGACGCUAUUUCGUCCUAGAACCGAAAUCGACCCGACCCAGUAGCCAGGAUCCAAGCG
rnacentral:lncRNA from 1 species